rnacentral:rRNA from 1 species
CAGGAACGCUGGCGGCAGGCCUAACACAUGCAAGUCGAGCGCCCCGCAAGGGGAGCGGCGGACGGGUGAGUAACGCGUGGGAACGUGCCCUUUGCUGCGGAAUAGCCCUGGGAAACUGGGAGUAAUACCGCAUGAGCCCUACGGGGGAAAGAUUUAUCGGCAAGGGAUCGGCCCGCGUUGGAUUAGGUAGUUGGUGGGGUAAUGGCCUACCAAGCCGACAAUCCAUAGCUGGUUUGAGAGGAUGAUCAGCCACACUGGGACUGAGACACGGCCCAGACUCCUACGGGAGGCAGCAGUGGGGAAUUUUAGACAAUGGGCGCAAGCCUGAUCUAGCCAUGCCGCGUGAGCGAUGAAGGCCUUAGGGUUGUAAAGCUCUUUCGUGGGGGAAGAUAAUGACGGUACCCCAAGAAGAAGCCCCGGCUAACUCCGUGCCAGCCGCCGCCGUAAUAC